GGCCGCGGGAAUUCGAUUCAGGCCUAACACAUGCAAGUCGAGCGGUAGAGAGAAGCUUGGUUCUCUUGAGAGCGGCGGACGGGUGAGUAAUGCCUAGGAAUCUGCCUGGUAGUGGGGGAUAACGUUCGGAAACGGACGCUAAUACCGCAUACGUCCUACGGGAGAAAGCAGGGGACCUUCGGGCCUUGCGCUAUCAGAUGAGCCUAGGUCGGAUUAGCUAGUUGGUGAGGUAAUGGCUCACCAAGGCUCCGAUCCGUAUCUGGUCUGAGAGGAUGAUCAGUCACACUGGAACUGAGACACGGUCCAGACUCCUACGGGAGGCAGCAGUGGGGAAUAUUGGACAAUGGGCGAAAGCCUGAUCCACCCAAGCCGCGUGUGUGAAGAAGGUCUUCGGAU
rnacentral:rRNA from 1 species